GCCUCCGCAACAAAACCUCGUCUCUCGAUCGCUCAGCUCUCCGAAUCCGGCGGUAAGACGAAAACGACGGGGCCUCGUUGAUCCGAACCAGAUCGGUGAAGGAAUCGAAGACGUCGAAUGGGGAAGGUCGAAGAGGACGAUGGGUGAACAGGUCGAAGGCAAAAUCGAAGUCAUCCACUUGUUCGACGAAGGAUUGGAAGGGGAAUGAGAGAGGUUCGGGGAGAACAAUGGAGGUUUGGGCGUCGGUAAGAAGAAGAGAAGGGCAGUGGGAGUAGUAAGGGUCAAUGAGCUGGAAUCUGCUGAAUCUGCUCAUGGUUUGAAAGUGAAGGAAGAUGAAUGGAGGAGGAAAGGGAAAUGGAAGGAGAAUGAGAUUUGUAGGAUGCCGGA
rnacentral:misc_RNA from 1 species